CACGUAGGGGGCAAGCGUUGUCCGGAUUUAUUGGGCGUAAAGAGCUCGUAGGCGGUUCGGUAAGUCGGGUGUGAAACCUCCAGGCUCAACCUGGAGACGCCACCCGAUACUGCUGUGACUAGAGUCCGGUAGGGGAGCGUGGAAUUCCUGGUGUAGCGGUGAAAUGCGCAGAUAUCAGGAGGAACACCAGCGGCGAAGGCGGCGCUCUGGGCCGGAACUGACGCUGAGGAGCGAAAGCUAGGGGAGCGAAUGGG
rnacentral:rRNA from 1 species